AGUCCCUAAAACAACAGGUUUAUUUAACCUCUAAACUUAAAGAGCAGCAGUACAUGUUCUUGCAUACCACUAGAUGGUGACUUUUGUAAUGAGUUGUUGACUUUUAUGCUAACGUACCUAUCUCUUUUCAUCAAAAUGAAAGCAAAUCAUGAUGUUGCUGUCUGUACUGUUAAAAACUUAGCCCUAAAUAUACUUCCAUUAGCAACAUUCUUCUGGCUGUAAGAGUCUAUGGAAAAGCUAUGGAAAAGUAAGGUGAACGUAGUCCCUGCCAGAUUCUGUUUGGGGUUUUUAACAUCUCUAUAUGGUUCAAAACACUUUUUUGUUAACAUGGGCUGCAUGUUGCAUUCAAACGAUUAGGCUAAAAUUCACAUGCUUCCCAAGCCACAAAGCAUCCAAGAUUUUCUUAAAUUGUGUAACAGUGUGUGCACCAUCUUGUAUGAGAAAACAGUAAGUCUUCCCAGGUCAGGCAAAACCAUCUCCUCCAGUGCUUGCUGUGUUCCCACACGGAGCAGCCUCUCAUUUUAGCUCUCUACUUUUGAAGGCUACUUCAAAAUGAUACUUGGCACCUUUCCCUACAUGGUUGCAGUUACAAGAUCAAACAAAAGCAAUUUGUUUGGCAGCUGUAGUCUUGCUCUUCAACUGGACAGGGGAUCAGACUCUUGUCAACGGACAGGCUGUACCAAAGAGCCGCUUCCCUCCAGUGACACUUGUUGCUAUUAAUAAUCUUCACCUGGCAUAAAGGGCAAGCAAGCCUUUAGCUCCAAAUAAAUGGUAUAAGUUCAUUCAUGACUAUGCACUGAAUAAGGGAAAUAGCAUUCGUCUCUGUUCUGUUAAUGAAUUAUCCAGACUGGAACUAUUCAGAGCUGAAUCUGUCUUUUUUGUACAGCACGCUUUGCAUUUGUACAAAACGUCAACAGAGGGGCUCUAUUGCUGACUGUUUAGCCCAGGCCACCAAUCUUUACCUUAACCACAACACAGCUAAUGAUGACAAUUCAUUGCAACAAGUGACAGCUUCCUGUAGUUUGCUCAUUAUUUAGCAGACUGCUGCAUACAGGUUAUGGUUUUCAAAAGCAACAAGAGUCAGAUACUGUUGCAGGGCUCAGUUCCUCAUAAUCAGACCCCCUUGCUACGUGGACCUAAGUCAAUGAUCAUGAAUCACUUUUGGAGUGUGUAACUACCUUUUGGAGUGUGUAACUAACCUUUUUUGUAAGCAAUUAGUGAAUGGUUUGUAGUGAAUAUUGCUGUAAUUCUUACAGGAAGAGAGAAUCAUAGCCCAAGAGUGUGAACACAUAUUGUCUUGUUUUAUUUGUUUGUAAGGAUGACCUACUGGAUGACCUAACCAUUAAAGGGUAUCUCUUUUUUCCACCAACUCAGAUUUUUCCUUCUCUUCAAACAAACUUCAGCCUUCAAACUGGCAUUUGUUUUCUGGGAGCAGUAACAAAAGCUAAAUCUGUUUUGUACAAAUGCUUAUGAAAAACCAGACGAGGGCUUGACUGGAUCAAAAUGGGUCUGAAGAUUCACCAAGGCGUCUGGGAACCCCUCUCCUGCUCUUCACCUGCCUCUGCUGUUGAUCUGUCUGCUACAGCAAGGCCUUGUUCAUGGCUGUACUCCAAACAUUUACUGGUGCACUAUUUAUUAAUGUCUUGCCAGGAUGAAACAUUUCUGAAACAAGAUUAACAUCAGUAUUUACAAGUAGAGGCUUAGCUCUAGAAAUAGCUCAAUCAAAAGAUAUCAAAACAGGCAACUACUCAGGGGAAAUUAUUUACAAAGGACACAUUCCCCCUCCCCAGUUACACUUUAUGUUUUUCUCAUAGCAUCAGGUUCACUUUCCAGUUCAAAGCUUACAUGGAGAAAAUAGGUUUGCCUCCUAGAAUACAGCUCUCUCCAAUUUCUGCUGCCUUUCUGCCUGCAAAACUGCCUAUUGAUUUCUUAACCUGUAUAUUUCUCUUCUAAUGACUAAUGACUAAGCCUUGAGCUGCACGAAUGCUGCCAAAACAGGGUGUGUUUACGCCACACCGAACUGGUUAUCAAAGGAAUUAUAUAUUUUUAAUUGGAAUAACCUCAGAUCAUGUCUUGCUAAGCAGAGAUUGCUCUUGUAAUGAGCGAUGUGGGGACAAGAGGGAGGGGAAGAAGUGUCCUGGGAGAGCAGGAGGUCUGGAGUUGCGCCGGAAGGAAUCAUGCCAAGCCUAUGCUCCUCUGCCCAAAAACUGGUGAUGACCCGUGCAAUGAUCUGUAUCAUAAAUGCGAGCUGCAUUUUUAAAUCUGGCCCUCUAUCCUGACAUAGUGUGUCUCAGGGAGAUGAACCGGUCCUCUCUUUCCGUCUCUGUGGAAACAACAAGCAACAUUUUGGCUUUCAGGAAUGUUGAAAGUCUGCAGUGAAGCCUGACAGUGGCUAAACCUUGGGGAAGAUCAUCUAAGUGGCUUAUCCUUAUUUACCUUUGAUCUCGUGAAGAAUAAGACUGCACAUGCACAUAGAGGACUAGACGUGCUGUCCAGAUAAUCACACCACCAAAGCUUGGUUUGAACACAGUUAUGCAACUGGCCCCAAAUGAGAGCUCGUAAUGGGUGCCUGGAAAGAAGCAAAGGAAAUGAAAAGCUGGAUUUUCUCAAAGCUGCUGCAGAUCCCGGUGAUGCCAUUUUCCUUACCCUGUGGGCUCAUAAACAGAGCUCUCCCUGCCUUGAUUACAGGCUCUCAGCUUCUUCUUUAGCUCUGCUGUACUGGAUAUCAACAGUUAAAACAGCCCCUGGGAACCUGCUCCUACAGAGAAAUACUCCAGCCAACAGACUACAGGGACUUUCUGCAGCUUCUUCUUUCCUUGUAUUUUAUAUGAAAAAACUGUUUAACCAGAGGGAUUCUGCAAGUCCCGUUCCAGAGUGGGGUCUCAUCCGGUGAUUAUACAGCUCUCCAGGGAGGUGAGAAGGUGUUUCAAUGCCCUCAGCACCAGGGCAGCACAUUCAAUGUCAGCAAUGCAGCAAAGUGCAGCAUCAGGCCAGAUCUGCGCUAAGGCAGUGCAAAGUUUUGUGGAGGCUCCUGGUAGCAGCAAAAACGUGGAGACACUAGCUUAACAACUGAGUGAUGGAGUCUUCUAACCUAGGCUGAUCCUGACAUGGAAAAUGCCCCGCCGCCCAUAUGUAUGUAUGUAUAUAUGUAUUAAGUAUACAUUUAUUUACACACACACACACACACACACACACACACACAGAAUCCUUACUCAUGAUGAGGUAUAGAGGAAAGGCUUUGAGGGCCUUGAUAUUGAGAAUAGGCAGCUUGUUUGACAUGACAUAGGAGCAGGAGCCAGCGAAGGGAUUCAAAGACCUGACCGAAGCUCCUCUGCUGAAACUCUGGCAUCCCGGGAGCAAAACAGCAGACAAAGGUCUAUGAGCUGCCGCAAGGGCUGGGAGUUUGUACUGCUGUAAGUUUGGGACAAGUAUGUUAUUUAUGAGAGCUGCAGGACAAAGUCAGACAUCCCAGUCACCCCAAACAAGUUUUCAUAUAUCCUAUAUCCUGCACCCACAGCAUUUCUCUUAUGUUUGUGAUGCCUGCUUUACAGAAAAAAAGUAUUUUGUAUGGUUUUUAGAGUGCAAUCUUUUCUAUUUCUGCUCUUUUUCUUUGUACCUCCCUCUCUCUGUUAACUAUAAGCAACAUAUUCAUUUAGCAUACUGCAGAGAUGUGUCCCUUUGUUCAGUUUACAAAUUCUCCACCAAGAAUGUGUUUG